rnacentral:rRNA from 1 species
UACGAAGGGGGCUAGCGUUGUUCGGAAUUACUGGGCGUAAAGGGCGCGUAGGCGGUGUGUCAAGUCAGGCGUGAAAGCCCGGGGCUCAACCCCGGAACUGCCUUUGAAACUAGAUAGCUAGAAUCUUGGAGAGGUCAGUGGAAUUCCGAGUGUAGAGGUGAAAUUCGUAGAUAUUCGGAAGAACACCAGUGGCGAAGGCGACUGACUGGACAAGUAUUGACGCUGAGGUACGAAAGCGUGGGGAGCAAACAGG